CAACCACUGUGAGUUGGAGACAAGCCCAGGUAUACUCUGAGACUCUGAGAUCUGUCUCGGGAAACAGAAACAAAAGAAUGAAGAAGAUCAGAAGAUUGCAGCAAAGGCAGGGCCCAGGAACCCUGGCAAAUUCCGUCACACAAGGUACAAUAUUUGGAAGAGAGAAUUGAUUUCAUGCAGGAACAUUUGAAUCUAUGGGCAGGUACAGCAGGGGAAACAGUGACCAGGUUCUGCAGAGAGCAGGAUAGAGUGCUGAUGACAGUGGGGAAGAGGCAGUUAGUGCCUCCCAUAGAAAAUGGCUUGGCAAGAGUGCAGGUGGCAGGCGAAGCAGAACCAUUUGUGUCGAAGGCAGCAUGAAGAGCAGUGGGCCAGCUAUCCAGGUCUGGGCACCUGGAAGCCCUGGCUUCAUGUAACAAAAGCUCAUACACCAUACAGAGAACGGACUCAAGGAAUACUGAAGUUAUUUGGAAGUUAGUACAUGUGGACUGUCUGACUUUGCUUUAUUUCAUGGACCAUUAGGUGAGAAGAAAUCAUGUGUGUUGGGGGAAGUAGGCUGUGCUGUCAUGCUUUGAAUGUAAAAUGUCCCCCAGAGGUUCAUGUAUUUGAAGUUGGUCCUUAACUGUUUUGGAAGAUUCUAGAACUGUCAAGAGACAGUUUCCCUUGGUGGAAAAGCAAAAUAGCAAGAAUGCAGGCAUAUGAGUUGAAGAAGGAAGAGGAAGAAGAUGAAUAUGCAUGGGCUAUCUCUGCUCUUCUCUCGGAAUCCUCUCACACUAAAGGAAGAGAUAAAUAAGGAGGGACAGUGACAAGUGUUCGGGCAGUGAUACGUGUUAGCAUCAUCAUUGAGUCUAGUGCCUGUGGACUUGUAACUCCACUGAAAAACAAAGUCAUAUUGAGUUUAUGGGUCUUAAUUCACCCAGCUUGAUAAUGGUAAAAGCUUUGGGGAUUGGAUUGAAUCUUUCCUUGUGACUUUAAGGAACACUCAAAAGAGAUUUCCCUCUAUCUUUCUCAUGCAUGCAAGAUUUGGGAUGCUCUAUCCAACUACAGGUUAAGAAAUGCAGCAUCUUGACACCUCCAUACCCAAAGCCAAGAUUGCUGUUUCUUUCAGACAGGCCCCCAAAAAGCAUUGGACAAAAUUUGACUAAAUGCUUUAUAGACCUUCCCCUUUGACUAAGAAAAAAAAAAACAUUGGUGAUUGCUUCUAUUCCAUAGAUGGAAAACCAAGAAAGAGACUUAUACUUUAUUCCUCAUGGUAUAGCAUUAUAUCCUUAGUGGGUGAGGCCCUUGUUUACCCUGAGGUGGUAGGCUAUUCAUGGCUAACCAGUGUAUCACUGGUACAACUAAGAUGAUUAGAUAUUACAAGUGGAAGCCUGAAGGGAUCUUCCCUGAACUGAUAUUCAACCCAUAAAUCACACCACUGCUCAUAUAGAGCAACUGCUCAUGAUAACAAGAUAACACCCAGAUCCUACUAGUUAAGAUGCCUGGCACUCAUGAUCUGGGGAAGAAUAUGAAGAGGAUGCUCCUACUGCAGAUGACUGAAACACAUACAGACUGUCUGUAAGUCAAUGAAACAGUGUGCUGCUUCUCCUCUGAUAGGCUGCUUCUUAAUUAAUCUACCCAUCAAUCAAGAGUAAUGUACCAAGUGAUGUUCCUCACUUCGGAACUCUGCUGUGGAGGCUCCAAAUACUUGUAUUGUGUGGAUUUAUGUCUGGAGAUCUCAUUAUAUCAAACAAAACUCUAACUCCAGAAACCAGAAAUGUGUAUAAAGGGAGGCCUUGAAAACGACAUUCUACUUGUACUUCAGACACCCUUACUGAAAUCCUGCCUGAUUGUUCAGAUACCAGGAGCUGAAAACUGCCAACCCCAUGAAGGCCUUGGGGAAGAGCCCCUCCCUUUCAGUUGACUGAAGCAUUAAAUCAUCUUUUCCCCAGAUGAUUAAUUGUUUGUUCAAAUGAUUGCGGCUCUGCUCGGGAUUUUCCUGCAGUGGCUCUCGACUGGUAGAUCAUGACUCCUUUGACUACACCUUAAGGAGAUUCAUUUUGGCUCAUAGAACAGUCUGUCAAUGCAGAGAUGGCAUGGUGGCUGCAGCUGGCACCCUCAUGGUGGUGAAUGAAACCUAUCUGGCCCCAUAAUUUCUCUAAAGACCCCUUUACAUGGCUGUUUCCUCUCUCCCUUUUGUUUUUAUAGGAAGAUGCUCUCUUCCCUCCACAAAUUGAUUUCUAUUCUUCCUUCCUUGCAACCUGUAAAAGUAUCAUCUCUGUGUGAUUCUAAUAUUGAGAAUGCAGAAUACAGAAGAACUCCCACCCAGCAGCGCAGUUCCUGUGAUGGUGUGAAGGAAAAUGGGAAACCUUGGAGAGAAUUCUGAUCAUGCCUUGGACUGAAGCCUCUUUUGGUGGAUGUGCUUCUCUUAAGCAGUGCCAUGGACAUUAGUCAAGGUUCUCUAAGGGACCACAGCUGACAGGCUUCCCAUGGAUACCAGAGCCCCUGAAGCAGGGAACGAGAAAAUAGAUCAUCUGGUGAAAUGCUUUCACUGCAAGCAUGCGGAGAUCUCAGGGAGACUCAGAGAAAGAUCUGAAGCUUCCAGACUGAAGGCGCUGACUGACAUUGGCACUGAUGUCUUGGAUGUCAAGUGUAGAUGUCAAGUUUAUGAACAGAAGAAACGGAGCUCAUGAAGUGUGCUAUGCUCUGCAUGUGUGCUAGUGAAGAGACUUCAAGAAAUCGAAUUGCAAAUAUAGUCAAAAGUUAAUUACACUAUUAUAAAUUAUAUCCUUUUAUCACUCUCUGGGGAAUACCAGGAAUCUGAGGAUAACCAUGGUGAAUAUUUAGCCAGACACCCUUAUGCAAGGAAGUCAGCUUCUGAGAGAGAGGAGGAGAAGACAGACAGACAGACAGAUACACUCAGAAAUAGAGAAACACAGAGAGAAGAGACAGAGAGGAGAAACCCCACAGCAAAUGAGGACAAGGAGGUUUGAAUGAGGAAGCCUACAGAUCAGACACUGUAAGAGGUGGAAUCUGUGAGGAAAGUCAGCAGGGAGGCAAGGCUCACGAGCAAGAGUAGAACCUAAAUACUUAAGG
rnacentral:lncRNA from 1 species